UAUUUUUAUCCUGCCAUUAUUAAUACCUAUUAAUAUCUUUUUUUCCUGAAGUGAUUAAAAUAAAGAUUCUAGAUUUAUGUCUUGGUUGGUUUAAUUUCAAUAUGAUAUAUAUACAUGUAUAUAUAUUUUCCAGUAGAAUCACAUCAGUGUUAUAUUUCAGUAUUGAUAUUCUUUUUAAAAGCACUUUUACAAGCUGAUUUUUAAUUCAUAUAUGUAAAUGUGUUAGUUUUCUGCCUAAUACCUUUGAUAUUCAAUAACUUCAUCAUAACUUUUCUUUUUGGAACAACACUAUUUUUUUCCUAAUAAACUCAGCUCUUGUUUACUCUG
rnacentral:lncRNA from 1 species